CUUCAUGAAGUUGCUAAGACCUAUCAUUUCUACUCCUCACACACUCUCACAUCCAAUCCUUUUUAUUAAACACUCAAGCUCAAUCAUCUUCAUGCCUCAUCACCACAACAUCAAAACACCAACCAAGAAAGACAACACCCAUGGCCGAAUAUCAUCUCCAUCAAUAGCAAAAAUUUAAACCAUGGGCUAGGUAGAACUUAAACUAACAACUAAAAACAUGCAUGAAUUUCAAAAAAAUAACAUCAAACAUACCUCAACCUAGGUACAAGCAUGGCCGAAC
rnacentral:lncRNA from 1 species